UCUCGACUAGUAUAUCGGUUGAGUACACGCGCCUGUCAUCGUCACGUGACUUCGCGCGAAAGCUGGGUUCGACUCCCAGGUCGAGAG